rnacentral:lncRNA from 1 species
AUGAGCACAAAUAAACAACCAGAAUUUAGCAACGGCACCAGACUGUACAUCACCGAAGAAACUCCGCAAACCGAGUGCCAGAAUAAUACAGUAGUGCAGUUCAUCCAGCAGAAUCAGACAUCAUGGCUGACUCUCGCCCUCAUGUCGGGUCUGUGGAUUGUUGUUUUGGUCGUUGUGAUCAUAGGAUACAUGAAGGUUUAUGGCUGUAGAAAUAGGCUGGCAGAACAAAACACUGGUCUACAGAUAACACAAGUUACCCAACAUGAUCCAGAGCAAAGCCAAUUACAGGUACUAUCUAUCUAUCUAUCUAUCUAUCUAUCUAUCUAUCUAUCUAUCUAUCUAUCUAUCUAUCUAUCUAUCUAUCUAUCUAUCUAUCUAUCUAUCUAUCUAUCUAUCUAUCUAUCUAUCUAUCUAUCUAUCUAUCUAUCUAUCUAUCUAUCUAUCUAUCUAUCUAUCUAUCUAUCUAUCUAAUCCUCUUUUCUACAUUGGUCUUUCAGGAUGUUGAGGUGGACACUUCCAUGCUGAGUAAUAAUCCUCCUGCCCCUGUAAACAGCACCUAUGUUAAAUUAGAGCUGCCAAAACCACAAACACACGCGUAAAACUGACCUACAUGGCAUUCUUGCAGAAACUUGUGAAACUGUGGUUGUCAAAGCAUUCAUGUAGCUGAUCGUUGUGUGUUCAGGCACAUCUGUCUGCACCUCAACCCAGUGAAGUUGUGUUUUGCCAGUGCUAGAUCUAGAUUUGUUUUAGUUUUUAACCAAAUGAUGACCUGCUAUUGUUGACUUUAUGAAUUUAUUUUUGUCAAAAGAAUAUGUUAAUAUCAUUAAAGUUUUUUUAAACAAUUGAUCAUGACAUAAUCCUAUUUCUGUGUUAGAAUUCUGCAAGGUGCAAAAAAAAAACAGGUCUGAUUAUUUACAGGAAGGGGCCUGUAGAGCUGGUUACAGCCACACAAAUGUCUAGAUCUAUAUAAAAAUAGUAACACUAGCUAUAGUGCAUCCAGAAAGUAUUGAUAGCGCUUCACUUUGUCCACAUUUUUUUGUUACAGCCUUAUUCCAAAAAGGGUUUUAUAAUGUAUUUCCUUAACAUUCCACACACAAUACCCCAUAAUGACAAUGUGAAAAAAAGAUUUUUUGAAACUGUUGGAAAUUUAUUAAAAAUAUUUUUUUAAAAACUGAAAAUUCACAUGUUUACAAGAACUUUGCCGUGAAGAUCUAAAUGGGGUAUAUGCCGAAGCAUGCUAAAAGGACUUUUAAUUUGCCAUUAACCUGGGUUAAGCGCUUCCGGCGAAUUGAAUGCCAAUGCAAAAUCUGGUGCGUUUAAGGUCUGUUUUCUUUAAAAAAUCAGCGAUCUCCACUAGCUGAGUGAGAAGCACUGCAUUAAAUUACAUUUCCCCCGCCAUAUCUUUAUAAUAUGAGCAUUUAUUACCCCAGUAUAUUCAAUGGAGCUUCUGCGCUAGCCUGUCGAUUCUGACAGGCACGUGCGAGUAAACAGCUUUUUGUCUCGUUUUACGCUUGAGCAACCAAAUAAAUGCUAAA